rnacentral:lncRNA from 1 species
GGAAGAAGAAAGUACCGGAUUAAGUAGGCAAUCUUAGGACAAUUCUUUUUCUUCAUUAGGGCGCAAGCUUCUCCUUAAACCCCACACCUCACACUUCCGUUCUUCUGUACUUUUUUCAGUACAGAAGCAAAAAAAAAUUCUUUUUGAGAUGAAGAGAACACAAGAGAUAAUUCAAUUCACUAAGCAGCCCUACGUUGAAGAUGUUGGUCCUAGAAAAAUGUCAGUUAAUUGAAUAUUUAUUGUUUUUUAUUUUCUGGUUUUAGUUAAUGUCUUGAUCAAUUGUUUUUAUUAUUGUUGA